AUAUUGGACAAUGGGCGCAAGCCUGAUCCAGCAAUACCGCGUGUGUGAAGAAGGCCUGAGGGUAGUAAAGCACUUUUAAUCGGGAGGAACACCUGUCAGCGAAUACCUGGCAGUAUGACAUUACCGAUAGAAAAAGCACCGGCUAACUCCGUGCCAGCAGCCGCGGUAAUACGGAGGGUGCAAGCGUUAAUCGGAAUUACUGGGCGUAAAGCGUGCGUAGGCGGCUGUUUAAGUCAGAUGUGAAAGCCCCGGGCUUAACCUGGGAACUGCAUUUGAUACUGGGCAGCUAGAGUUGAGUAGAGGAGAGGGGAAUUUCAGGUGUAGCGGUGAAAUGCGUAGAGAUCUGAAGGAACACCAGUGGCGAAGGCGCCUCUCUGGACUCAAACUGACGCUGAGGUACGAAAGCGUGGGUAGCAAAC
rnacentral:rRNA from 1 species